AACGAACGCUGGCGGCAUGCCUAACACAUGCAAGUCGAACGAGACCUUCGGGUCUAGUGGCGCACGGGUGCGUAACGCGUGGGAACCUGCCCUUAGGUUCGGAAUAACUCCCCGAAAGGGGUGCUAAUACCGGAUAAUGUCUUCGGACCAAAGAUUUAUCGCCUUUGGAUGGGCCCGCGUUGGAUUAGCUAGUUGGUAGGGUAAAAGCCUACCAAGGCGACGAUCCAUAGCUGGUCUGAGAGGAUGAUCAGCCACACUGGGACUGAGACACGGCCCAGACUCCUACGGUAAGCAGCAGUGGGGAAUAUUGGACAAUGGGCGAAAGCCUGAUCCAGCAAUGCCGCGUGAGUGAUGAAGGCCUUAGGGUUGUAAAGCUCUUUUACCCGGGAUGAUAAUGACAGUACCGGGAGAAUAAGCUCCGGCUAACUCCGUG
rnacentral:rRNA from 1 species